GAUUGAUAUUAGAUGAAUUAUUAUUAUUAUUUCAUUAAUUAUAAUUUUUGUAAGUAAUUAUAGUUUAUAGAUUUAUGAUUUAUAUUAAUGUUUGUUGAUUUUAUUAAUUGUUUUUAAUUAAAAGAUUAUUUAAUUGAUUAAAUAAUCCCAGUUGAGAUGAAUGAAGGGUACACAUUUAAUGGAUUUGAGGUGGAGGAGGAAAAAAAAGUGUGUGAUAAAAGGGCAAAGGUGGUGCCCUGCUAAAAGGUUUAUAUAUUUGAGGCAUCAAAAGCCACUUUGGGUUUGAUGUAAAAUUUUCCUUUUUUUUUUUUUUUUUUUUUUUUUUUCUUUUUAUAAAGGUUGUUGCUUACCAUCCUAUGGUCCCCAUUUGCAAUACCAAUCUCUCAAUUUGAUGUCAAAGAAAAGAAACAAUUUGGCGAAGAGGAAGUUAGGUGGACAGCUGGCCAUUAUCUUCCUCGGGGGACUUGUCUCUAAAUCACAAGACACCAGAUCCAUGGCUAUAAAAUCCUUCCAAACAACUCAUACUUGGUCUCAGAAUAAAUAUAAACCAUUCACUCACUCACUCACUCCUACCCUUUCAUUAUGCCUAGAAACUAUGAGGUAGAAUCCACAAAUGGUAAUUUUUUUCAUCAUAAUCUUUUGUACUUUUCAUCAGAAAAGAAAACUUCUCGUCCUAAUUUAUUUUAUCUCCAAAUUCUUGCUUCAAUUUCUUAUUCAUUCAAUUGAAACCCCUUCUAAAUGCACAAAAGAAACAAAGAUUGUGGACUUUUUAUAUUAUAAUAAAAAGUCUUGUACAUCAACAAACAAGAGCCCCUUCUCCUUGUUUGUUCAACGAAUAAAAACCUUAGCACUACAUUCCAAAUAUGGUUAUAAAUAAUAAAAAAGUACAAAUGAAAACAAAUAAAAUAACAUGUUUCAUGUUUAAUCUCUGAAGCCAGUCGUGUCAUUAAAUUUUUGUGAUAUUUGGUGGGUCCAAUUCAUCCACAUGUCUUAACCAAGUCUCUAAAAUAUUUGAAAUAAAUAAUUUUUUGAGUUCAGUUCAACAUCCUUUUAUUUCUUAGUUUUUGUUCGUAUCAAAUUAUUGUAAGAUAUUUAAUUACAAAAGAGGAAGUCGUUAGUUCUUCCGUAAAUGACGUAAAAGUAAUUCGUAAAAUUUAAAAAAGAUAAAACUUGUUUUUUUAUCCCUUCUUUUUCUUUCUUUUGGGCCUUUCCCUCUCAUGUGAAAUAAUGAUUGUUACCCCUACCUCUUAACCCAAAAAAACUAAAGUGUUAAAUUAUAUACAUAUGUAC
rnacentral:lncRNA from 1 species